rnacentral:rRNA from 1 species
GGUCCUCCAACCCAAUGUGACGUUACCAAACUGUUGCCUCGGCGGGGUCACGCCCCGGGUGCGUAAAAGCCCCGGAACCAGGCGCCCGCCGGAGGAACCAACCAAACUCUUUCUGUAGUCCCCUCGCGGACGUAUUUCUUACAGCUCUGAGCAAAAAUUCAAAAUGAAUCAAAACUUUCAACAACGGAUCUCUUGGUUCUGGCAUCGAUGAAGAACGCAGCGAAAUGCGAUAAGUAAUGUGAAUUGCAGAAUUCAGUGAAUCAUCGAAUCUUUGAACGCACAUUGCGCCCGCCAGUAUUCUGGCGGGCAUGCCUGUCCGAGCGUCAUUUCAACCCUCGAACCCCUCCGGGGGAUCGGCGUUGGGGAUCGGGACCCCUCACCGGGUGCCGGCCCUGAAAUACAGUGGCGGUCUCGCCGCAGCCUCUCCUGCGCAGUAGUUUGCACAACUCGCACCGGGAGCGCGGCGCGUCCACGUCCGUAAAACACCCAACUUCUGAAAUGUUGACCUCGGAUCAGGUAGGAAUACCCGCUGAACUUAAGCAUAUCAAAAACGGGAGGGAAUC